GUCAUACUACGGCGCAUCGCCCUGUAAAGUAAACGAUGACCCAUAGUGAACUUCAGGGUAAAAUACGUAUCAAACAAAAAAAUUGCUGCUGGCCUGGAAUUUUGUGUCCGGGUCAGUUUUCUUU
rfam:Enterobacter cloacae SCF1, complete genome.